rnacentral:rRNA from 1 species
UACGUAGGGUGCAAGCGUUGUCCGGAAUUAUUGGGCGUAAAGAGCUCGUAGGCGGCUUGUUGCGUCGACUGUGAAAACCUGCGGCUCAACCGUGUGGUCUGCAGUCGAUACGGGCAGGCUGGAGUUCGGUAGGGGAGACUGGAAUUCCUGGUGUAGCGGUGAAAUGCGCAGAUAUCAGGAGGAACACCUGUGGUGUAGACGGCUUACUGGACCGCAACUGGCGCUGAGACACGAAAGCGUGGGUAGCAAACAGG